rnacentral:rRNA from 1 species
ACGGAGGAUCCAAGCGUUAUCCGGAAUCAUUGGGUUUAAAGGGUCCGUAGGCGGUCUUAUAAGUCAGUGGUGAAAGCCCAUCGCUCAACGAUGGAACUGCCAUUGAUACUGUAAGACUUGAAUGCUUAGGAAGUAACUAGAAUAUGUAGUGUAGCGGUGAAAUGCUUAGAUAUUACAUGGAAUACCAAUUGCGAAGGCAGGUUACUACUAAGUGAUUGACGCUGAUGGACGAAAGCGUGGGGAGCGAACAG